UAUGCGUUGAGAGAAGAUUAAUCUUGCAUCGCGAUCAUCAUUUUUCCGCCGGGCAGAGCGUUUCUUUGCAGAUGUGUGUUAUGAUUUUUCGAUAUUCUCUUGCUGUUAAAAGCGUCGCGUGCAAAAUUUGCCUCCAACGUUCAACAUAGUUCUGUAUAGAGAUUAUUAGAAAAUAUCUGGAAAUUUGACUAAAAACAAAGCCGAUUGCAUCAAGUGCGAGAACGAGUAAGAUCAAUUUUUUUUUUGGUAUUAUUUACACAUAUUCCGCAGCUGUGAACGAGAAGAGCGACAUGAUAUCCAUGGUAAAUCAUCCUCUGCUCCUGAUCGUCCGAGCGACGAUGCACUGAGAGAUCGACGUACGUCGGACUAAAGUAAACCGUGGGAACUCAUCGUCACAAGUUGAGAAAAUGAAUAAUCAGGCGUUCAGCUUGGCGGAGAGGCUCAUACCUUCGACCUACGUGCAGCAGGGCUUGAACGCGAAGAAGUCUCGCGAGAACCUUAUACGGCACUUCAUCGAACAUCGAAAAUGGCCAGAGGAGGGCUGGGACGACGCGACGAUAGAGGCAUUUCUGUCGGAUCUGUCGCAAAUGGACAGCAAUAACUUCCCCUCGAAUUGUAGCGUCGGCGAACGCGAGGCGAGGAUCGUGUCGAAUCUCGUCGCGAGACGACACUUUCGCAUGGGACACGGCAUAGGCAGGUCCGGCGACCUAGAAGAAGUACAACCGAAGGCUGCUGGUAGCAGUUUAAUGUAUAAAUUAACUAACUCCUUAGUGCUUGAAGUUAUACGAUAUAUGGGGGUGAAGAGCAUAGCGGGCUGCUUCCUGUCACCAAUGGCCACGGGAAUGAGCCUAGUCCUGUGUAUGCUGACGCUUAAGCAGGAUAGACCACGCGCGAAGUACGUUUUAUGGCCUAGAAUUGACCAAAAGUCUAGCUUCAAGUCUAUAAUCACGGCCGGAUUGGAGCCUGUCGUUAUCGAGAUGCAAAUAAUAGGGGACGAGCUGAAAACCGACAUGCAGAGACUCGAGGCUCAAAUGGCGGCCCUAGGCGAGAGCGUCGCCUGCGUGCUCACGACGACCAGCUGCUUCGCGCCCAGAGCGUGCGACUCCGUCGACGCGAUCGCGGCCCUCUGCAGUCAGUACAACAUACCGCAUCUGGUGAAUAAUGCAUACGGCUUGCAGAGCACAAGAUGUAUGCAUCUCAUACAAGAGGCGUCGAGGAAGGGUCGAGUCGACGCCUUCGUUCAGAGCACGGACAAGAACUUUCUGGUCCCGGUGGGCGGUGCCAUUAUAGGCUCCUUCGACAAGAAUCUGUUGGAUCGCAUAUCGAAAAUGUAUCCAGGACGCGCGAGCGCGAGCUCCGUUAUGGACGUGAUGAUUACGCUGUUGAGUCUUGGAAUGGCAGGGUACAAACAAUUGAUUGCUCAACGUAAGGAGAUGUAUUCUUACCUGAAGGAGGAAUUGGGAAAGUUAGCGACGAGGCACGGGGAGAGGCUGUUAGACGCUAAGGGCAAUCCAAUAUCCAUGGCCAUGACUCUGCAGUGUCUCAGCCAUCAACACGACAACAAGCAAGUUACUAUGCUAGGAUCAAUGCUAUUUCUGCGUAACGUUAGCGGUACUAGAGUAAUAACGACCACGGAUUCUAAACACAUUGUCUCACAUAAAUUUGAAGGCUGGGGUGCACACAACAGCAAUUACAGAGUUCCAUAUCUGACUGCUGCGGCGGCGUUGGGCAUGAAGAGAUCUGAUGUUGACGCGUUCAUACAAAGAUUGGACAAAGCUUUAACGAAAGUAAGGAGGCGUUCGGCGCCCGUAACGCCCACUGCUUCACUCGCCGGCUCCAGCAUCAAUGGAGACGCAGGUGGUACUGGUGGACCAGGGGAAUCUAGCACAGCCUCAACCAGCCGUGCAAGUAGCAAGGACAGUCUAAGGAAAUGAACCGUAAUCAACGCAACUGGCCAGUCCAAUCAGCACAUUAAUAUCAAUUUGAUUUUCUAGAUCCCUAUACCUCUUCUAUCCUCGGAUCGUUUGGUCUUUUCUUAGAAAAUCAGUUCCGAAAAUAAUUAAAGAAAAAUGUGAAACGUAGCUCCGGUAGAUUUGGAACCCCAAUACGUACGGCGAUAUUCAUACUUUUAGACAAUUACAUACAUAUACGUAUAUAUAAGUUAUACACCGAUACUGUAUUGCGUAUUUUUUGACCAUUAGUUUCAAGUUACACGUUUCUUUAAUUAUUCAUUCGUCUCGAGGCAGACAGAUUACACACAGAAAAAAAAAAAUCUCUAAGAUGUAGUGAAAGAAAUUGCAAAAUUAUCGCUAUAAGGGGAUUGUAUAUGAUGCUAUAUAAUAGGAAACACAUUGACGUUAUAUUAUUUAAUAAAGAGGAAUAUAUGUUGUGUAUAUAUAAUAUAUACACACACAUAUACAUAUAUAUACAUGAUAUACAUGUAUGAGCGGUCUUUAUACCGUGAUAUCUUGAUGUACACCGGGCUACUGUCGAAAAGUCACACGCCAUCUAAAACUAAUUAAUCGCUUAUUAAUUUACAUCUUUAUAUUUAAGAUUUACCUUUCACUCUUUUACUUCAGGCAAGCAAUAAUUGUAAUGCGACGCGAGGUAAUAAUGCGAUUCCGGGGAGGGGGAUAUUUCCUUUCAUUCUAUGCUCAAGCAGAGGGAGACAUUGGAUUUUCUCGAAGAGCAAUAGAGACAAAUCAGCCUAUAUACGUAUUUAUAUACAUGUAUAUAUACAUAUGCAUAUAUGUGUGUAACAAUAGGAGAAAAUGUUCUAGGACACACCGGCGUACGAUGGGAUCUUACAACUCGUACUCGUGACAUUCCUAUGUAAAUAAAAAAAAAGAGGUCUCUGUCUUAAUUUGAUUCACCACCAUUUCCAGCUGUGAGUUUUCGUCUAAAAAAAAAGGGCCAGCUUAACUUUACAACAUUGCGUUACACACACCUCUCACGUAACAACAACGACCGUCUCGCGGACCUAAUUUUUUCCACUUUCACUCUCUCUCUCCCUUAAGUUAGCCCGACACUUGGGAUCGGUCCGACUCCGACUACUGCAGUUUCAUUGUCUUUUUAUAUACGAAAAAAAAAUAUAUAUAUAUAAAAUGAUAUUCUAACACAAACAGCGAAUGCGUUGACUCGAGGAAGCACCUAACGUUCGCACAAGAACAAAUGUGUAUUUAUAUAAGGGAUAAAAUAAAAAAUAUAUAUAUAUAUAAAUAUACGCAACCGACUCGCUGUAUUAAAGUUUAGGGCGUCGGUAUAAUGUAAUUGUGAGCGAGCGGUUAAGGCUUAUAUCGAGUAAAUACGACAUCAUGUCUUAUAACGCCUCGCGAACGUGUUCUCCGAGGCAGCAUCUGGUUUAUUUUUUUUUAUUUUCUUUUAACGAUGCGACACGUCGAGACACGUCCGGGGAACGCCCGCGACUCCCGCUGACAUUGUACAUAACGCGGUUAUUGCUCUAACGGCUCAUCUUCAACAAGAUGUGAAGGAGGGGGAGCUCCACGAGCACCACGAAGACGUCGGUGGUUCCCCUUGUCGGGGAACAUAUUGGUUCGUAAAGGCCGGCAUUCCCGAGCCACCUAAGUGGAAGGCUAUAACAGGCGAUAGCGCGAUCGAGGAAGAGGAUUUGUAUGUACAGCUGGAUAUACAGGAUCGAUCCGGGUGUGCGAACGGAAAGGAGAGGAGGAUCUCUUCAAUGCGUGUUUCUCCACAGAUUUUAUAUAGAAAUCUGUGUGUUCUCUCCUCCCCGCCGUUUCCGCCUGACUUCCCUCCGGCGAUUGAAAGAAAAAAAAAAGACACGUUGAAUAUUAAAUCAAACGAUAGCGAACUAAUGUAAACGGCGUAAUAUACGUGCUCUUCCCUAAAUAUGUGAUUACCGUGUGUAAUAGUCAGCGCUUUAUUUGUAAUAUACGCAAACUAUUGGAUAAAUAAAUUAAAAACUGUUAAGCGA